rnacentral:snRNA from 1 species
GUAUUCCAUACGGAAAACAUAUACUAAAAUUGGAACGAUACAGAGAAGAUUAGCAUGGCCCCUGCGCAAGGAUGACACGCAAAAUCGUGAAGCGUUCCACAUUUUU